UACGGGAGGCAGCAGUGGGGAAUAUUGCACAAUGGGCGCAAGCCUGAUGCAGCCAUGCCGCGUGUAUGAAGAAGGCCUUCGGGUUGUAAAGUACUUUCAGCGGGGAGGAAGGCGACGCGGUUAAUAACCGCGUCGAUUGACGUUACCCGCAGAAGAAGCACCGGCUAACUCCGUGCCAGCAGCCGCGGUAAU
rnacentral:rRNA from 1 species